AGGCUGUAGGGCAAUAAGUGUUAAUUUAUAUGUUAAUUAUGUUAUGCAUAUAUAUUUAUGUGUUUAUUUAUAUUUGAAUUAAAAGAAAAGAAUAAAGUUCGGAUGUGUCCUACAGUUGUAAGUUUUAAUAAAUGCUGUGGCCUGUCUCAUCCAAUAUUCGUUGUCUGUCGUUAUUAAGGGGACAAGUGGGGUAGUCUCUUUACCUUUAGUCGCACCACAUUCCCCGCUACGUACAUACAUG